GCUUAACGCGAAGAACCUUACCUACUCUUGACAUCCAGAGAACUUAGCAGAGAUGCUUUGGUGCCUUCGGGAACUCUGAGACAGGUGCUGCAUGGCUGUCGUCAGCUCGUGUUGUGAAAUGUUGGGUUAAGUCCCGCAACGAGCGCAACCCUUAUCCUUUGUUGCCAGCGGUUCGGCCGGGAACUCAAAGGAGACUGCCAGUGAUAAACUGGAGGAAGGUGGGGGAUGACGUCAAGUCAUCAUGGCCCUUACGAGUAGGGCUACACACGUGCUACAAUGGCGUAUACAAAGAGAAGCGACCUCGCGAGAGCAAGCGGACCUCAUAAAGUACGUCGUAGUCCGGAUUGGAGUCUGCAACUCGACUCCAUGAAGUCGGAAUCGCUAGUAAUCGUAGAUCAGAAUGCUACGGUGAAUACGUUCCCGGGUCUU
rnacentral:rRNA from 1 species